rnacentral:lncRNA from 1 species
UAUAUAUAUAUUUUUUAAUUUGCUGAUUGUAGGAAACUUUGGCCUGUUAUUCUCAGAAUCUGUUUCAUUUUUCCCUGGGUACACUGGUAGACUAUACUUCCAGGCUCCCUUCCUGUUUGGUAUAUCCUUGUGAUUUGUUUCUGGUUGAAGGAAUGUGAACAGAACUUACAUACCAUUUCAAGGUCUUGCCUCUAUGCUCCUUUUUCCCCCAUUUGCCAUAUGGACACAAAAGAUCCAACAGAAGACUCUGAUGCUCUCUACAGGAUAGUGGAACCACAAGGUGGAAACAAUUCUGGAUUCCUGAGUCAGCUCGUGAUAGCUGCCCACCAAACACACUCAUUGAUCUUUUGCCUGGCACAGAGUUCCUUGGGAAAAAGCACAAACUUGGGAAAGGAGAUGUUUAUUUUAAACUUGUGAUAGGAAUUAAAUGGUACCAAAUUCCAGUCCCAGGAAAAAUUGCGAUAAAGAAAGAAGGAGAUGAACCAGAAAGAUGAGACAGGAAAAAAGGCGAAGGCAAGUGGAAGCAUCAGUGAAGCCAAUGUGGAAAGGAUCAAGAAGAACAGACAAAUUGAGGCAGAAAAGCAAGGCCAGUAACUGUAAUGGUGAAGUUUUGAAAUGAUACUAUGCAUACUACAUUUUAAUGGGUAUCCUCCCCAUUCAAAUGAGAGGAAGGAGGAGGAAUUGGGAAGGUGAGUGGAAAAGAAUAUUUCAAACGAAUUCUCCCUACAUGACAUCACUUUCCUUUAGGCUGACCUUGAUUUCUUGUCACCAGAGCAGGUGCCACAUGUUUAGCUCUCUGAGCUGGUGGUAUGUCGCAAAUCCCAUGUUUUUAUGAGUGUUUUACACAACUUUUUCCUUGUGACUUAAACUCGUCUAGACUCAAAAGUCUAAGUUUGGACAGCAGAAGGAAGCCAAAACAGCAAAAGAAAGCAUGCUAUAGAAAAGAUACUAAAUCUUGACCAUAAACAGAGGAGGGAAACCAGACAGCUGUAUUGUACUUCAGUUAGUUUUGUUUACCACUAUCUGUCAGGGCUAGUCCUGCUGCUACUCUGAGCAAGUUGUCCUGCUUUAAUUUCAGUAGUAUCUGUUUAUCGCCCAGUCUUCGUUGCCAGUUAUGCUCAGGUCAUUAACUGCUUGGUUACCUCUUAACCUCAUUUGGGAAAGUUUAUAUGUUGAUAGUCCUGUAACUUGAACCAGCUCACUUAUUUUUAAGAAAGUUAGGAUUCUUUUUAUCUUCUCCAACUCAUCACUAAAAGAGGUUAAUUGAAAAAUACAGAGACCACUACUUAAGUAAUUUUUUCACCAAAGACAUUCAAUAUCAUGACAGAAUUCAGGAUGUGGAGGGAGACUGGCAGGUGGGGAAGGAGAGACAGAGAAGAGUUGGCAGGACCCAUGUGUAUCAUCUUCUCAGUUUAGAAGCCCAUAUGGUGCUUCAUAAUGCUCUGCUCAAUUGCCAUAUAGUUUUAGUCUACAUCCUAUUAAAAAUAAACCCUAUUAAGAAGAG